UAACGAAGUCAUCGCCCCCCCUCCGAUAUCCUCCACCUCCACCUUCAAUCUCCUUGAAGUGAGAAUCCUGCUGGCUAUCCCUCAAACCUCGUCCUUCGCUUGACAUUAGCAAUACAUCGUCUGACACAGUCUGACCUAUUCGGCUAGCCUUGCUGUUAACUGAAUCAAAGUCUGCGAUCCUCAGCUCCCGGAUAACGUCAGAAUCCCUGUCAGGAAGAACAAGAGGAUCGUCUUCGCUUUGGUUCGGCUUUCUUUUUGCCAGAGGAUCUUUUUCACCAGCAAACAUAUCGCCUGUAAUCGUACUCGUCUUUUCUUCAACCCUCAAUAAGGAACUCUGAAAUGCUUGCCAGUUUCCGGAAUCUUCCUCCCGUCGAGGAACCACAUCAUCCUCAGCAUAUGUAUUUGAAUUCUCUGUAGACUUUUUGUGCCCGUCUUUUUUCUUUGAUCCAGAAG
rnacentral:misc_RNA from 1 species